ensembl:lncRNA
CCACCAUUCAAAACCAUUUCUGAAUAGCUCGAGAGGCUCAAGCUCAUUCAAGUUGCUGAAGAUCCAGAAUUGAAAUACUCGCUAUGGCAAAAACUGAAGGGACUCUUCGCUAAACCCCUCUCUGCACAGCAAAAAAGGUCCCAACACCCAUAAAUGACUCAAUAUGCACUAACCACAGUGCUUACCUCAACAGAUCUGUCUCGUCAACUGCUCCCCUGAUUACUGAAAACAUUCAAUAAAACCAGUUUGCUUCACCUCUGCUUUACUCUAGUGUAAGAGGUGCGUAAACUGGCUGCAGGGAAGUCAGGCGCAGGAGAGCAGACAUAGGUAACAACCAGAGCAGUUUAUUUAGGCAAAACAAACUGCACCCAGAAACAACGGGUUUAAAUAACCCAUCGCAAACCAGUUAGAAAUGCACAUACACUUUACAACAAACAAUUCCACACACAGACAUGGGGGGAACAGAGGGGUAUAUACAUGUCACGUAAUGAGGGAAUGUAAACCAGGUGUGUGGGAAAACAAGACAAAACAAAUGGAAAAUGAAAAGUGGAUCGGCAAUGGCUAGAAGACCGGUGACGUCGACCGCCGAACGCCGCCCGAACAAGGAGAGGAACCGACUUCGGCGGAAGUCAUGACAUCUAGCUUAUCACUGCACAGAAGAUUGUGUGCAGUUUUGCCAAUGGGUGAUUCCUCCCUCCUGUUGGAUUGUGAUGAAACUGACAGAUGAUUUUAUCUCAAGCGACACCAGCACCAGCAGUCUAAUCUCACCUGAGGUGUUCCACAGAGAGGAAGUCUAUGACAGUGGCCUUCCCCAGUGAGGAGCUUUUGGACCUGCAUGUGAAAAACUCUAUUAUCCUAGAUGUCAGCCAUGCUGAGGACAUGAAUAUGCAGCAGCCUUCUUACCUGUCCUCCAUCAUAGAUUCCGUCUGUAUCUCAGUGGCAUUUAAAGAGAAAUUGUUUCAUUCUCAAGAGAAAUUGUGAAUCGUCUGAAAAAGAGACUCUGAGUAUCAAGGGGCUUUUCCUGGUUGAAUAAAGGUUAAUAAAUAAAAAAACACACACACAAAAAUAGUGUAUGAAUGUUAGCAAUGAAAUCUUUCUCUCAAAGUCAGUGAUGAUUAGACCCAGGAAGAUCAAAUGCAGGAAGAGAGUAACAUUCAGUGACUCUGUUACCACUGAGAAGAUGGUGGUGAACAAUGUGAGCCUGUCAGUGGCCACAUGGCCAGUGAAAUCACUGAGAGGACCGGAAACACAGGGGGCGACAGAGAGACGUCUGCCCCUGAAGAAGCCCCACAAGUCCAGAAAAGACCCACACAACACUCCCCGGAGCAAACCAAGUUCUUUGACUUUGCAGACGAGAAAGAAAAGGACACUUCUGUCAAAAAUUGUGGCAGAGGUACUCCUCCCCGAGGAUGACAUUCACCAAUGUUGGUGUACCUUCGACAGAUGCAUUUGAAGAUGAGGAUGAAGCUGUUUGUUCCAGAACCAGCUGUGCAAGGUGUGCCGGUUCCACCCCACCAGGAAGGAAAGCUACCACAACUUGUUAAAGCUGUCAUCAAUCGAGGUGAGAAAGCAAACAAACCACAUUGGCUGAAGCUCUUAUAUAACCUUCUUUUACCUGUCAUUUUCACAACACAUUCAUCUCACAAGGCCCUGUAACCAUGUUUUGAAAUAGUUUUGCAAACUUGUAAUUCAAUACACAAUUGUAAAAGAUAUACAACACUAAUAAAAAGGCAGUUUGUACAUUUGUUUAAUUAUUUAUUUUAGGACAAUUCUGUAAAAAAAAAAAAAGAGAGAAUGUUUUCACAGUCCAUGUACAGGUUGUCUGUUUGUUUAAAAAAUAAUAAUAAUAAAAAAUAAACAUGUCUGAA